rnacentral:rRNA from 1 species
CCUACGGGUGGCUGCAGUGGGGAAUAUUGGGCAAUGGGCGCAAGCCUGACCCAGCAACGCCGCGUGAAGGAAGAAGGCUUUCUGGUUGUAAACUUCUUUUCUCAGGGACGAAGAACGUGACGGUACCUGAGGAAUAAGCCACGGCUAACUACGUGCCAGCAGCCGCGGUAAUACGUAGGUGGCAAGCGUUAUCCGGAUUUACUGGGUUUAAAGGGCGUGUAGGCGGGACUGCAAGUCAGAUGUGAAAACCACGGGCUCAACCCGUGGCCUGCAUUUGAAACUGUAGUUCUUGAGUACGGGAGAGGCAGACGGAAUUCCUAGUGUAGCGGUGAAAUGCGUAGAUAUUAGGAGGAACACCAGUGGCGAAGGCGGUCUGCUGGACAGCAACUGACGCUGAGGCGCGAAAGCGUGGGGAGCAAACAGGAUUAGAUACCCCUGUAGUC